rnacentral:rRNA from 1 species
AACGAACGCUGGCGGCGUGCCUAACACAUGCAAGUCGAACGCGAACGGGUCUUCGGACCCUAGUAGAGUGGCGCACGGGUGAGUAACACGUGGGCAAUCUACCCAGGGAUUUGGGAUAACCAGGGGGAAACCCUGGCUAAUACCGAAUACGUCCAUGAGGCCUUCGGUCCUCAUGGAGAAAGGUGGCCUCUUCUCGAAAGCUGCCGUUCCUGGAUGAGCCCGCGGACCAUUAGCUUGUUGGUGAGGUAACGGCUCACCAAGGCCAUGAUGGUUAGCUGGUCUGAGAGGAUGAUCAGCCACACUGGGACUGACACACGGCCCAGACUCCUACGGGAGGCAGCAGUGGGGAAUCUUGCGCAAUGGGGGAAACCCUGACGCAGCAACGCCGCGUGGGUGAUGAAGGCCCUUGGGUCGUAAAGCCCUGUCUGGAGGAAGAAUCCCGCUCUCGCUAAUAUCGGGAGUGGAUGACGGUACCUCUGAAGGAGCACCGGCUAACUCCGU